rnacentral:rRNA from 1 species
UACGAAGGGGGCUAGCGUUGCUCGGAAUUACUGGGCGUAAAGCGCACGUAGGCGGCUUCUUAAGUCGGUGGUGAAAUCCUGGAGCUCAACUCCAGAACUGCCUUCGAUACUGGGAGCUCGAGUCCGGGAGAGGUGAGUGGAACUGCGAGUGUAGAGGUGAAAUUCGUAGAAUAUUCGCAAGAACACCAGUGGCGAAGGCGGCUCACUGGCCCGGUACUGACGCUGAGGUGCGAAAGCGUGGGGAGCAACAGG